rnacentral:rRNA from 1 species
GAAUUGCCAUUGAUACUGUUGUUCUUGAGUUAUUGUGAAGUGGUUAGAAUGAGUAGUGUAGCGGUGAAAUGCAUAGAUAUUACUCAGAAUACCGAUUGCGAAGGCAGAUCACUAACAAUGAACUGACGCUGAUGGACGAAAGCGUAGGUAGCGAACAGGAUUAGAUACCCUGGUAGUCUACGCCGUAAACGAUGGUUACUAGCUGUUCGGGCAAAUUGAUGUCUGAGUGGCUAAGCGAAAGUGAUAAGUAACCCACCUGGGGAGUACGUUCGCAAGAAUGAAACUCAAAGGAAUUGACGGGGGCCCGCACAAGCGGUGGAGCAUGUGGUUUAAUUCGAUGAUACGCGAGGAACCUUACCAGGGCUUAAAUGCAUUUUGACAGGGGUGGAAACAC